rnacentral:rRNA from 1 species
ACGUUAGCGGCGGACGGGUGAGUAACACGUGGGUAACCUACCUAUAAGACUGGGAUAACUUCGGGAAACCGGAGCUAAUACCGGAUAAUAUUUCGAACCGCAUGGUUCGAUAGUGAAAGGUGGUUUUGCUAUCACUUAUAGAUGGACCCGCGCCGUAUUAGCUAGUUGGUAAGGUAACGGCUUACCAAGGCGACGAUACGUAGCCGACCUGAGAGGGUGAUCGGCCACACUGGAACUGAGACACGGUCCAGACUCCUACGGGAGGCAGCAGCG